UUAAAUUGAAGAGUUUGAUCAUGGCUCAGAUUGAACGCUGGCGGCAGGCUUAACACAUGCAAGUCGAACGGUAACAGGAAGCAGCUUGCUGCUUUGCUGACGAGUGGCGGACGGGUGAGUAAUGUCUGGGAAACUGCCUGAUGGAGGGGGAUAACUACUGGAAACGGUGGCUAAUACCGC
rnacentral:rRNA from 1 species